UCCUGGUUAGCUCAGUUGGUAGAACGCUCCACUGGAAAUGGAGAGGUCCCUUGUUCGACACCAGUACCGGGCG
rnacentral:tRNA from 1 species